rfam:Neonectria ditissima strain R09/05 contig_246, whole genome shotgun sequence.
GCCUUGUUCAUCUAGUGGUUAGGAUAUCAGCUUGUGGAACAUCAAGCCGCUGAAAACACUGGUUCGAUUCCAGUACAGGGCA